rnacentral:lncRNA from 1 species
GUUUGACAUUUACAGAGGGAUAUCUUGUUUAGACCAGACAGAUCUACAUUAGACCAACACCAGGAACAUGCAGUAUACAGUGACAGAACAUGGGCAUUUUUACAGUAUUCUCUUUGUACAUCAAAUCAGAACCGUAGAAUACAUAACGGGGCCAUAUAAGCAGACAAUGAAAGCUCUUAUAAUAUUCUAUGAUGACAUUUCUCUAAAACAGGCUAUAGGCUACAUGUGCACCACCAAGUCAGAACAGUAGGCGAAAGAGGGACCAAAUGAUUAACGUGAGGCACACGGGGCACUAACAGCUUACUACACAACACACAUGUAGUAUUACUUUCUUAGCUACAGUAUACAUAACUCCCUGGCAUAUUACAUAAUUUAUGCAUCAGUAUAAAGUAUCACCUGGUUGUGUUCACUUCCUUCCAAACCACUCAUUGUUGAAUUUUCGAUUUCCAACUUGUUGUGUAAUGUUUAUGUCCAAUGGCCGACGCGCACCGAUACGUUUGAUCUAUAUUGGAACACAGGAGUGAUGGUUGCUGAUAAUGGGCCUCUGUACACCUAUGUAGAUAUUCCAUUAAAAAUCAGCCUUUUCCAGCUACAAUAGUCAUUUACAACAUUAACAAUGUCUACACCGUAUUUCUUUAAAAAACAAGGACAUUUCUAAGUGAGCCCAAACUUUUGAACGGAAGUGUAUAUCUUUUUUUUUACAUUGUUUGCAAACUGAUAUGUGACACGUAUUAAUGCCAAAAUAACAUGCAAAACAAGCAAGCCCCCCCAAAAAUGUUUUUUUUUUUUUCUAAAAAUGUGGGGCUCAAAGGCCCCACCUGCCCUGAAUGACAGGUCGGUACUGGCCACUGUUAUCAUGCAGUUUGGGGUAGCCAACUUGGCUGUUGUUGUCAGAACAGAAUAAUUAAUGCCAUGGUCUUCCAACAUGACCACCAGGAGGCAUUGUAUGUCAAUGCAGAGCCUUGGUCAGGUCCAUUCGAGUCCACUCAGGUCUAUCAGCUGUGCUUACAUAGACCGGAUACCUGAUGACAAUCAAACAGGACACGACCCAGACCAGAAUGAAAAGUUUUAAUUUUGGACCCGGUCCCAAGUCACGUCUGGAGUAUUCGGGUGAACCUGUGAAGAACUCUAAACUGGAGUAACCAUUUAAUUUGCUUGACAUUUGUAAAUGGAAUAAUCCUUGACAUUAGUCAUCCCAUGACAUGGUAUCUUAGUUCACAGCAAGCUACAUAACAAUAAGCAAUUAACACAAUUCUCAUAUCCAAUUCUUCACACAUUCAGAGAAUUAAAUUCACAUUUAUAAGUAAAAUAACAUCAUUGACUAUUUACAUGAAAACUAAUCAUUUGGUCUAACUUAAAACCAAAUUGUUUGAAUCCUCAGCAUAAUUCAAAUGGUUCAGCAAAGUAGUCACUUCCUACUGCAGCUUCCUUAUAAAUGUGACCAGUGACAUUAUAAGGGGUUUUAGUAGCACAGUAGGGGCUCCCCCACACCAGUUUGACAUUUACAGAGGGAUAUCUUGUUUAGACCAGACAGAUCUACAUUAGACCAACACCAGGAACAUGCAGUAUACAAAAUGCAUAAAGACAAACGUUUUAACAAUGGCUGUUCACAGUCAUGUAUCAGCUGUAUAACUACAGUAGUCUGGUUUGAUUCUGCUACUCUUCUUAGAAAUAUGAAAGCACCUGUACUUUAAGAAGUGAGUAAACUCUACAAUUGCAAUACACAGGCUCCCUGUUCACUGAGUCUAGCUCACGUUCGGUCCAUUGACUACAGUCAUUUCUCCCAUCAUGCUGUUCUUCUCUUCUAGUUCCUAAAACUUGCCUCCCUGGCCACAUUUUGUACUCUGCUCUCGUCAUCAUAUUCGUAACUCAGGGUUCAGUUCAGUGUCACCGAACUAGGGAAAACCAUGAUUAACCACUUUCAGGUGCCGUUUGCCUCGUUGCAUAACACCGAAAGAAUAGUUCAGACAUGACGGCACAACACAUUGCUCAAUGUUGCUCCAAGUUCUACAUUGAACACAGGCCUUAUUUUAAGUUGCAGUUCCUCUUAUCAUCAUCCCUCCAUUUUGUUUUCUGUCAGUUGAAGAGAGAUUGUUGCAUCAGAGGGGGGAGACGCUUCACACAUUCAGGCAGAGUCAUCUUCAUACACAUUAAACGACCGGGUCACGCCGCUUUCCUGCCUCUCUGUGUCUCUCUG